ACCCUUGGAAGGCUAUUUAAAGGGUAGAAGACCUCAUUUCUUCUCUGUGGAUGGCAUGCCCACUAGGGAAUUCAAGAACAUGAAAUCAAUGGGUGUUCCCUUUCCUAAGAACUAAUGGAGGAGAACAUACUCAAGCCUCUAGGGCCACAAGACGGAACCCAAUCACCCUUCACAGCCUCCUACAGGAAAUGCAAAGCAGAUACAUGUGUUUGGUCAUCCAGAGCAUCUUCAUGUAGUUCAACUUCUUCUUCUUCAACCUCUGGCUCUGCAAAUUCGUGGCUUACGCAAGAGCUGAUUCUACUAGUCAAGAAAGAUUAAAAUGGGUUCGGCAGAAUUGCAUGAUUUACAAUUAUCGCACGGACUCCAAGCGCUUCCCACAAAGCCUCCCUCCAGAGUCCAGAAAGCACCGCCAACAUGUCUUAAUUGAAGAGAAUCCAAUCAGAUAAUCUUUAUUUUUUAUUUUUGCCUUCAAUUUUAAUCGAUUCAUUUAUUCAAUCAGUGAAUCAGUUCUCUUUCUUGCUGCUUAUUCCUUUUGCAAGAAGGUGCUUGUGGGUUGCCUACUCGCCCAGUGCCAUGGGGCGCCACAAAAUAUGAGCAAAACAAAAAUUUCCCAAUUAAAGUAAUUAAGGCAUAUUGUCAUUUUAUUA